rnacentral:rRNA from 1 species
GUAGGUGGCAAGCGUUGUCCGGAUUUACUGGGCGUAAAGAGCGCGCAGGCGGUCGAUUAAGUCGAGUGUGAAAGCCCCCGGCUCAACUGGGGAGGGUCACUUGAUACUGGUCGACUCGAAGGCAGGAGAGGGAAGUGGAAUUCCCGGUGUAGUGGUGAAAUGCGUAGAUAUCGGGAGGAACACCAGUGGCGAAGGCGACUUCCUGGCCUGUUCUUGACGCUGAGGCGCGAAAGCUAGGGGAGCAAACGGGAUUAGAUACCCCGGUAGUCCUAGCCGUAAACGAUGGACACUAGGUGUUGGUGGUAUCAACCCCGCCAGUGCCGUAGCUAACGCAUUAAGUGUCCCGCCUGGGGAGUACGGCCGCAAGGCUA